rnacentral:lncRNA from 1 species
CCAUUAAUUCUUAAAUGUGUUAAGAUUAUUUGAUGUCAUGGUAAAAUGUUUAUGAAAUAUUACAUUUUAAAAGUGUAGUAUAGUAACCUACAAUGUGAUACCAAUUCUGUAAAACAGUAAAUGUAUUAAUGAAACACUCUAAGUAAAGGAAAAGUGAGUAGUUAUCGCUCUUUUUUAGUAUGUUUUAAUUGAUAUAUCAUGGUUAUAUAUAUUUUUGGGGUACAUGUGAUAUUUUGAUACAUGUAUACAACAUGUAAUGAUCAAGUCAGGGUAAUUGGGAUGUCUGUCACCUCAAACAUUUAUCUUUUUUUGUGUCAUGAACAUUAUAAUUCUUUCCUUGUAGUUGUUUUAAAAUAUACAAUAAAUUAUUAUUCAUUAUAAUUUUUUAAUUAAAUAUUUUUAAAAUUUUUAUUAUUUUUAUUUUUUUUAGAGACAGGAUCUUGCUGGUCACCCAGACUGGAGUGCAAUGGUGCAAUCAUAGUUCACUGCAGCCUCGAACUCUUGGGCUCAAGCAGUCCUCCUACCUCAGCCUCCAGAGUUGUUAUCUAUAAUUUUGAACAGUAGUUAUCUGUAACAGUGAGAAGCAAAGGUUUUCCUCAUUUCCUCUUUUACAGUUUCUGUAUUUUCCAUAAUUGAUACAUCAUCACAUAUUACAAUUAUGAUGAGAAAACAUGAUACAUAUUUUUAUUUGGAAAAUACAUAAAUAAAAACAAAAUCUAUGACCUCACCGUUCAGACUCAACAUCUCUUCCAUUUUGAUGUCAUGCGAUGUUUCUGACGGAGGUUUAAUUGAAAUGAAACAGCAUCAAUAAGCAUGGGCUCCACAGUCUUCCCACAUCGCUCUGAGUGCCCGGGGAGGGACUGGGGACUCCCCCCACACAUUAACCCACGAGGACCUCUCACAUGGACCUUUUUACAUUCUCUCUAAUCUUUCCCAAAGCCUUGCAAGGUGGGAGUAAUAUUAUUAUUCCCAUUUCAGAGAUGACAAAACUAAGAAACUCGUCCUCUGUGAGUUUCUGUGCUAUUAGGCUGUGUCUCAUGUCCCCGUACAAAGUAUCUUUGUAUGGGAGGCCUAAUGGUUAAGAGCAUGGACUUCUGUCCGACAGAAUUCAUUAAGUUCCAGGCCAGACACACUGCCGCUCUCUGGGAAUGUGUCCAUGGGCUAGGGGUGGCACUGAGCUUCCAUUCCAUUUCUUAUAAAAUAAUGACGACAAGAUCGUUUUCCUUAAAGGGUGGCUGUGAGCCUUCAAUUACACAGUGAUGAAAAGACCUUAGCACAGUGCUGGGCAACGGCUAGCUACUUCAGAGGCACAGCUGAGACUUGCACAGAGGUACCUGGCUGCAAAGUCCGGCUCCUCUACACUCUGCAGAGCUGUUUUCCCCCUUCAGAGCUCCUCUCCUCCGGGAGGGCUUGCCUCGCCCCGGUCCAGGAUCUCUGCCUUCGGUUGAAGCGCAGCGCCCCCAGCCGUCCGCAGGAGGGAUCGACGCCUCUGUCUCCCCGAAGUGAGGGCGCUCGCUGCGGAGCUGGGGGUGGUCUCCUCUUCCCCCCAUCGCGGCCCAGCAACCUGGGGGUCCGCGUGACUUCUCCCUGGCCGGGGGAUGGAGGAUGCGCUCUCCUCUGUCCCUUCAAGGCCUCUUCCUCGUCCCAGGUCGAGUCUCCUCCUUGCUGACCAGGCAUCGCGAGCAGAUGAAUCCUCUGGGCGGUUGUCCCUGUCAGGCUGUCAGGACCUGAUUUUCCCUGGUUCACUAAAGCACCAGAAGGUAUGAAGGCGGAGAGAGGAAACAGGGCAAUGGAAUGAACACUUCUCAAGAAUCUCUCAGGUGCCACGGACUGAGCCAGUUGCUUUGGAAAUCAUGUGGACCUAGCUCUUGGCAACACAGAAUCCACAUCUAACCUCGUUCUACUCAGCUCUGCUGUCCCAAAGACCCCGCACCUGAUGAAUCAGCUGGCACCACCCAGAUUGAAAAACUGGCUCAUCUGAUCUUGUGGCCCCCUACCCAGGAACUGACUCAGCGCAAGAGGACAGCUUCGACUGCCUGUGACUUCAUCUCCAACCCAGCCAAUCAGCACUCCCAAAUCACUGCCCCCACCCACCAAAUUAUCCUUAAAAAUUCGGAUCCCCCUUGGGGAUACUGAUUUGAGUAAUAAUAAAACUCUGGUCUCCUGCAUGGCCAGC